rnacentral:rRNA from 1 species
UACGUAGGGUGCAAGCGUUGUCCGGAAUUAUUGGGCGUAAAGAGCUCGUAGGCGGUUUGUCGCGUCUGCUGUGAAAACUCGGGGCUUAACUCCGGGCCUGCAGUGGGUACGGGCAGACUAGAGUGCGGUAGGGGAGACUGGAAUUCCUGGUGUAGCGGUGAAAUGCGCAGAUAUCAGGAGGAACACCGGUGGCGAAGGCGGGUUGCUGGGCUGACACUGACGCUGAUGCGCGAAAGCCAGGGGAGCGAACGGG